UACGAAGGGGGCUAGCGUUGUUCGGAUUUACUGGGCGUAAAGCGCACGUAGGCGGAUCGUUAAGUCGGGGGUGAAAUCCUGGAGCUCAACUCCAGAACUGCCUUCGAUACUGGCGAUCUCGAGUCCGGAAGAGGUGAGUGGAACUCCUAGUGUAGAGGUGGAAUUCGUAGAUAUCAGGAGGAACACCUGUGGCGAAAGCGGCGCACUGGACCACAACUGACGCUGAGGCGCGAAAGCUAGGGGAGCAAACAGG
rnacentral:rRNA from 1 species